GCCGCCGUUCGUAGCGCCGCAGAUCCAUCGUCGAAGUUUUAGAUCUCGUUUCCGGCGAACUUUUCCGGCGAACCUUCGGCGAGAGUUUCCGGCCAUCUCCGGCAUCCUCCACGAAAACCGUCACCAUCCCGAGGGCCGCGACCCCCUCAGUGAGGCACACCUGCAGGUCCUAUCAGCGCCACUAUACUGUGCCCUCUGCCCGCUCCUCUUCGCACGCGCGCCUACUAGUAAGAGCAGGAUUGGCUGCUGCCGCUCCUCUGCAGACCGACACCCUACUGCGAACCACGUCCUGGCCACGGGCCUCAAGCUUGGUGUCGCGCCGCCGUGGCCUUGCACUGCUGUGGCGUGCGUUCGACUGGCCAGGCCCCUCCCCUUCUCUGCGUUGUGCAGCAGCAGCACCCCCAUCGCCAUCAGGGCCACCAUGUUCACGUCAAGAUGAAGAAGAGGACAGAGAAGAAGCGUGGUUCGUCAGCAGUGAAGACCAGGAGCUAAGGACCGACGGUCGAAGCAGA